UGGGGAAUAUUGCACAAUGGGCGCAAGCCUGAUGCAGCCAUGCCGCGUGUGUGAAGAAGGCCUUCGGGUUGUAAAGCGCUUUCAGCGAGGAGGAAGGUGGUGAACUUAAUACGUUCAUCAAUUGACGUUACUCGCAGAAGAAGCACCGGCUAACUCCGUGCCAGCAGCCGCGGUAAUACGGAGGGCGCAAGCGUUAAUCGGAAUACUGGGCGUAAAGCGCACGCAGGCGGUUUGUUAAGUCAGAUGUGAAAUCCCCGGGCUCAACCUGGGAACUGCAUUUGAAACUGGCAAGCUAGAGUCUCGUAGAGGGGGGUAGAAUUCCAGGUGUAGCGGUGAAAUGCGUAGAGAUCUGGAGGAAUACCGGUGGCGAAAGGCGGCCCCCCUGGACGAAGACUGACGCUCAGGUGCGAAAAGCGUGGGGAGCAAAACAGGAUUAGAUACCCUGGUAGUCCACGCUGUAAAACGAUGUCGAUUUUGGAGGUUGUGCCCCUUGAGGCGUGGCUUCCGGAGCUAACGCGUUAAAUCGACCGCCUGGGGAGUAC
rnacentral:rRNA from 1 species